rfam:Ruminococcus sp. CAG:60 genomic scaffold, scf478
UGAUACCAGUGUCAAAAGGUCAAAAAGCCGUUCGUGCUUGCACGAUAAGGCUUUUGAACUUGGGACACGCCAAAUAUGAGAAAGUAGCGAUUUACGCAGUAAAUCAGCGGAUUUCAAAUAUUUGGAGGAUUGCGGGAGCAGCGUAGCUGGGUCGCAAUCCGGGGUAUCA